AUUGAACGCUGGCGGCAGGCCUAACACAUGCAAGUCGAACGAGUGGCGGACGGGUGAGUAAUGUCUGGGAAACUGCCCGAUGGAGGGGGAUAACUACUGGAAACGGUAGCUAAUACCGCAUACCAUCGGAUGUGCCCAUAUGGGCUUAGCUAGUAGGUGGGGUAACGGCUCACCAAGGCGACGAUCCCUAGCUGGUCUGAGCGGAUGUCAAGCGACACGGGAACUGAGACACGCGCCGGACGCCUACGGGGGGAAGCAGUGGGGAAUAUAACACAAUGGGAGCAAGCCUGUUGCAGCCAUGCCGCGUGUAUGAAGAAGGCCUUCGGGUUUUAAAGUACUUUCAGCGAGGAGGCGUUACUCGCAGAAGAAGCACCAGCUGACUCCGUGCCAGCAGCCGCGGUAAUUC
rnacentral:rRNA from 1 species